rnacentral:rRNA from 1 species
UGGGGGAUAUUGCACAAUGGGGGGAAACCCUGAUGCAGCAACGCCGCGCGAAGGAAGAAGGUCUUCGGAUUGUAAACUUUUGUCUUAUGGGAAGAAAGAAAUGACGGUACCAUAGGAGGAAGCCACGGCUAACUACGUGCCAGCAGCCGCGGUAAUACGUAGGUGGCAAGCGUUGUCCGGAUUUACUGGGUGUAAAGGGCGUGUAGACGGGACUGCAAGUCAGAAGUGAAAAUUGUGGGCUUAACCCAUAAACUGCUUUUGAAACUGUGGUUCUUGAGUGAUGGAGAGGUAAGCGGAAUUCCUAGUGUAGCGGUGAAAUGCGUAGAUAUUAGGAGGAACACCGGUGGCGAAGGCGGCUUACUGGACAUUAACUGACGUUGAGGCGCGAAAGUGUGGGGAGCAAACAGGAUUAGAUACCCUGGUAGU